AUUAAUUCUUAACUAUUUGGCAAAGACCAAAUGUAGCAUAUGUUUUUAUCACUUUGGUAUCUGUUAUGUCUUCAGUUUGAAUAUUUUAUAUUAAAUAAAUUUGGGGGACUGGAAGAUUUACUGGGAGCUUGCAACAUCCUCUCCGUGUGUGAAGCUAUUGCUCUGUUUCCAGAAUGGUGCAAAAAGAA
ensembl:snRNA U2 U2 spliceosomal RNA